rnacentral:rRNA from 1 species
UACGUAGGGUGCGAGCGUUAAUCGGAAUUACUGGGCGUAAAGCGUGCGCAGGCGGCUUUGCAAGACAGAUGUGAAAUCCCCGGGCUUAACCUGGGAACUGCAUUUGUGACUGCAGGGCUGGAGUGCGGCAGAGGGGGAUGGAAUUCCGCGUGUAGCAGUGAAAUGCGUAGAUAUCGAGAGGAACACCUGCGGCGAAGGCGGGUUGCUGGGCUGACACUGACGCUGAUGCGCGAAAGCUAGGGGAGCGAACGGG